UAGGGAAUCUUCCACAAUGGACGCAAGUCUGAUGGAGCAACGCCGCGUGAGUGAAGAAGGCUUUCGGGUCGUAAAAGCUCUGUUAUUGAAGAAGAACGUGUGUGACAGUAACUGGUCAUGCAGUGACGGUAUUCAAUCAGAAAGUCACGGCUAACUACGUGCCAGCAGCCGCGGUAAUACGUAGGUGGCAAGCGUUGUCCGGAUUUAUUGGGCGUAAAGCGAGUGCAGGCGGUCUUUUAAGUCUGAUGUGAAAGCCUUCGGCUUAACCGAAGAAGGGCAUCGGAAAUCUGGGAG
rnacentral:rRNA from 1 species